GUCGGGGGUCGUCGGUCGUUGGUCGUUGAGGAUCGUCGGUCGUCGAGGAUCGUCGGUCAUCGAGGAUCGUCAUUGGGGGUCAUUGGUCGUCAUCAGUGGUCGUCGGUCGUCAUCCUCGCUCGUCCUCGGUCAUCAUCCUCGCUCGUCCUCGCUCAUUGUUGGUUGUCCUCGCUCAUCCUUGUUUAUUGUCAGUCGUCCUCCUUCGUCCCUGGGGGUCCUCGCUCGUCCUUGAUCGUCCUCAAGGGUUGUCAGUCGUCCUCGCUGGUUGUUGGUCAUCCUUGCUCGUCCUAGCUCAUUCUCAUAGGUUGUUGGUUAUCAUCGGAUCGGUCAUCAUUCGUUGGUCGUUGGUCAUCGUUGAUCGUCCUGGCUCAUCCUCGCUCAUCCUCAGUGGUCCUUGGUUGUCCUCGGGUGUUGUCAGUCAUCUCACUUGUCCUCAGGGGCCCUCGGUCAUCCUCAGUGGUCCUAGGUCGUCCUUAGUCAUCCUUGGUCGUCAUCGGUGGUCCUCGGGGGUCAUCGGUCAUCCUCAGUCUUUGGUCGUUGGUCAUCGUCACUUGUCCUUGGUGUUCCUCGGGGGUCCUCGGUAGUCCUCGGGUGUCGUCGGUAGUCCUCGGGUGUCGUCAGUCGUCCUCGCUCGUCCUCGGUGGUCCUUGGGAGUCCUCGGGGGUCGUCGGUCAUCCUUGAUCGUCGUCGGUGGUCCUUGUGGGUCAUUGGUCAUCCUCACUCAUCCUUGGUGCUCCUCGGGGGUCCUCGGUAGUCCUCAGAUGUUAUCAAUCAUCCUCACUUGUCUUCGGUGAUCCUUGGUGGUCUUCGGGGAUCGUCGGUCGUCUUCGAUCGUCGUCAGUCAAGCCCCGUCCUCGGGAGUUGUUGGUCAUUGUCGGUGGGCCUCGGUGACCCUCAGUCAUCCUCAGUUCUUGGAUCAGGCCAAUAGGAGGACAGCAAGCAGGAGAAAGGCUGGAAGAGGAAGAUUCGCUUCAUUUCUUCUUCUUUUCUCUUGCCAACAAAUGCAGCGAGCAGAAGGCUAACCGUGAAGAGUUUACCAGAAGACAGAAGAACUACUGCGGAGAAACGGCCAAUGUGGGAGCAAGACAGAAGAUUCUUCCUCUUGUCCUGAUCAGACCAAUAGGACCACAGCAAAUGGUCCCCAGAAAACCUGCUCUCUUUCUGGUGGUCUAGUCACAAGCAAGGACCACAGCAAGGAGAUAACCAGCUCAAAAAGGGAGAUUCUCAAAGAUGACAGAGAAAAACCAGCAAGUUGCCUGGACUGUCCUCAGUUACCCUCAAAACAACAUUCAAUCGAGCCUCUAAGCAAAUUCUGGAGUGAAAGAACUCACAAAAAGAUAAGAUUUCAAGCAGGAUGCUCUGAAAAGAACAGGAAAAGACUUCUGUGAAUUUAUGCAACGUGAAAUAGGCAGAACCAGAAAAACAUCGUACACAGUUAACAGCAACAUCUUAUGAUGACUUACUGUGAAUAACUGAACUAUUCUCAGCAAUACUAUGAUCCAAAACAGUUCUGAAGGAUUUAUGGUGAAAAGUAGUGCGGUCCAUCUCCAGAGAAAGAACUGAGCCUGAAAGGAGAUUGAAGAUACUUUUUCUUUAUUUUUCUGGAGUUAUUUUUGUCUGUAUUCUCUUUCAAAACAUGACUUAUGUAAAUGUGUUUUUCAUUAUCACAUGUGUAUGACAUUUCAAAUUGUUUGCCUUUUCAAUGAAAAGAGGGAGGAGGGAAAUUUAGAACUCAGGAUUUGAAAAAAAGAUUGGUGAAAUUGUUUUUAAUGUAAUUGGGGAAAAACAAAAUAUUGAAUUAUGGAAAGGGGCAAGAAAUGAAGAGACAUUUUUUAAAAACCUGGAAAGACUUACACAAACUGAUGUUGAGUAAAGUGGGCAGAACCAGGAAAACAUUGCCCACAGAACAGCAACACUGUGCAAUGAUAAGCUAAGAUUGACUUAGCCCUUCUGUAUAAGACUGAUCCAAGAUGAUUCCAAAAGAUUCAUGAUGAAAAGUGCCAUGCACAUCCAGAGAAAGAACAUAUGGAGUCUGAAGACAGAUCAAAGCACAUUAUUUUCAUGAGUUUUUUUUUUCAAAAUUUUCCCUUUUUUCCUCUUAUUUCAUGUUAGAACUAUUAUGGAAAUCUGUUUUACAUUAUGGCAAAUAAAUAAUAUAUAUGUGUGUGAUGGCUUAUUUAUGGAUGAUGACAGGAAAGAAAAAAGUAUUGAACUCAAAAUGUUUUUUAAAAUAAAUGUAAAAAUUGGUUUUACAUGUAAUUGGAAAAAAAUAAAUUAUGAUUGAAAAACAGGAAUGGUUCUUGUUCAUUAUCUGUUUCACUUCCUGGAUUAAGCCAAGAAGGCUAUAGUGAAGUAAUGACCAAAAGACAGAAUCAGAAGGUGUCCUUUUGGGAAAGACAAAGAAAAUAGGGUAAACGGGGCCACUUAGAAACAGCAGACAGAACAAGGAGACCUAAAUGAUACCCUGUCCAUCUCUCUGACGCAAGAAGUGAGACUACUGCUUCCAGAAAGGAAGGAGAGAGGAGUGAACAUCUGUUCGGUCUCUGCCUCUCCGAGUCUCUGUCUGUUUCU